UUUUUUUUUGCUAAAAAAACCUCAUAGGCGUGUUUCUGGAGUUGAACUAUACUACCAGUUAAAAUACUUGCACUCAUUUCUGGGACACUCUUUAUAAUGGGAGUGAAGAAAUUCCGGCGGAAGGAUAAGGAAAUUGUGGGUACAUUACAAUACAUAUUUCCAACACUCGGCUAACCUCCCAUAUGUUGAUGGAACAGCAGCAGUAGAUUGUCUUGACUUGUUCACAAAUCUUAAAAUUGAUAGAGCUACCAGCAUUUUUCUUAAAAGUAUUUAAUUUGCGGCUUCUGGCUGUUGCUUCCCUCCUGCUUCUACUCAUCUUCUACAAGAUUCAGCAAAAAUUCCUCCUGCUCCUUCAUAAUAUACCAAACGGUUGGUUCUCUAUAUUGUGUACAGUCGUUUUUAUUCAUUCUGUCAGGUUUUUAUUCUAGUAUUACGCUCUUUUUGUUAACUUAAAAAAUAUAAUA